GGGUUGUGAGGUUAAGCGACUAAGCGUACACGGUGGAUGCCCUGGCAGUCAGAGGCGAUGAAGGACGUGCUAAUCUGCGAUAAGCGCCGGUAAGGUGAUAUGAACCGUUAUAACCGGCGAUUUCCGAAUGGGGAAACCCAGUGUGACUCGUCACACUAUCAUUAACUGAAUCCAUAGGUUAAUGAGGCGAACCGGGGGAACUGAAACAUCUAAGUACCCCGAGGAAAAGAAAUCAACCGAGAUUCCCCCAGUAGCGGCGAGCGAACGGGGAGGAGCCCAGAGCCUGAAUCAGCAUGUGUGUUAGUGGAAGCGUCUGGAAAGGCGCGCGAUACAGGGUGACAGCCCCGUACACAAAAGCGCAUGUGCUGUGAGCUCGAUGAGUAGGGCGGGACACGUGGUAUCCUGUCUGAAUAUGGGGGGACCAUCCUCCAAGGCUAAAUACUCCUGACUGACCGAUAGUGAACCAGUACCGUGAGGGAAAGGCGAAAAGAACCCCGGCGAGGGGAGUGAAAAAGAACCUGAAACCGUGUACGUACAAGCAGUGGGAGCACAGGUUUACCUGUGUGACUGCGUACCUUUUGUAUAAUGGGUCAGCGACUUAUAUUCUGUAGCAAGGUUAACCGAAUAGGGGAGCCGGAGGGAAACCGAGUCUUAAUUGGGCGUUAAGUUGCAGGGUAUAGACCCGAAACCCGGUGAUCUAGCCAUGGGCAGGUUGAAGGUUGGGUAACACUAACUGGAGGACCGAACCGACUAAUGUUGAAAAAUUAGCGGAUGACCUGUGGCUGGGGGUGAAAGGCCAAUCAAACCGGGAGAUAGCUGGUUCUCCCCGAAAGCUAUUUAGGUAGCGCCUCGUGAAUUCAUCUCCGGGGGUAGAGCACUGUUUCGGCUAGGGGGCCAUCCCGGCUUACCAACCCGAUGCAAACUGCGAAUACCGGAGAAUGUUAUCACGGGAGACACACGGCGGGUGCUAACGUCCGUCGUGAAGAGGGAAACAACCCAGACCGCCAGCUAAGGUCCCAAAGUCAUGGUUAAGUGGGAAACGAUGUGGGAAGGCCCAGACAGCCAGGAUGUUGGCUUAGAAGCAGCCAUCAUUUAAAGAAAGCGUAAUAGCUCACUGGUCGAGUCGGCCUGCGCGGAAGAUGUAACGGGGCUAAACCAUGCACCGAAGCUGCGGCAGCGACACUGUGUGUUGUUGGGUAGGGGAGCGUUCUGUAAGCCUGUGAAGGUGGCCUGUGAGGGUUGCUGGAGGUAUCAGAAGUGCGAAUGCUGACAUAAGUAACGAUAAAGCGGGUGAAAAGCCCGCUCGCCGGAAGACCAAGGGUUCCUGUCCAACGUUAAUCGGGGCAGGGUGAGUCGACCCCUAAGGCGAGGCCGAAAGGCGUAGUCGAUGGGAAACGGGUUAAUAUUCCCGUACUUGGUGUUACUGCGAAGGGGGGACGGAGAAGGCUAUGUUGGCCGGGCGACGGUUGUCCCGGUUUAAGCGUGUAGGCUGGUUUUCCAGGCAAAUCCGGAAAAUCAAGGCUGAGGCGUGAUGACGAGGCACUACGGUGCUGAAGCAACAAAUGCCCUGCUUCCAGGAAAAGCCUCUAAGCAUCAGGUAACAUCAAAUCGUACCCCAAACCGACACAGGUGGUCAGGUAGAGAAUACCAAGGCGCUUGAGAGAACUCGGGUGAAGGAACUAGGCAAAAUGGUGCCGUAACUUCGGGAGAAGGCACGCUGACACGUAGGUGAAGUGAUUUACUCAUGGAGCUGAAGUCAGUCGAAGAUACCAGCUGGCUGCAACUGUUUAUUAAAAACACAGCACUGUGCAAACACGAAAGUGGACGUAUACGGUGUGACGCCUGCCCGGUGCCGGAAGGUUAAUUGAUGGGGUCAGCGCAAGCGAAGCUCCUGAUCGAAGCCCCGGUAAACGGCGGCCGUAACUAUAACGGUCCUAAGGUAGCGAAAUUCCUUGUCGGGUAAGUUCCGACCUGCACGAAUGGCGUAAUGAUGGCCAGGCUGUCUCCACCCGAGACUCAGUGAAAUUGAACUCGCUGUGAAGAUGCAGUGUACCCGCGGCAAGACGGAAAGACCCCGUGAACCUUUACUAUAGCUUGACACUGAACAUUGAGCCUUGAUGUGUAGGAUAGGUGGGAGGCUUUGAAGUGUGGACGCCAGUCUGCAUGGAGCCGACCUUGAAAUACCACCCUUUAAUGUUUGAUGUUCUAACGUGGACCCGUAAUCCGGGUUGCGGACAGUGUCUGGUGGGUAGUUUGACUGGGGCGGUCUCCUCCUAAAGAGUAACGGAGGAGCACGAAGGUUGGCUAAUCCUGGUCGGACAUCAGGAGGUUAGUGCAAUGGCAUAAGCCAGCUUGACUGCGAGCGUGACGGCGCGAGCAGGUGCGAAAGCAGGUCAUAGUGAUCCGGUGGUUCUGAAUGGAAGGGCCAUCGCUCAACGGAUAAAAGGUACUCCGGGGAUAACAGGCUGAUACCGCCCAAGAGUUCAUAUCGACGGCGGUGUUUGGCACCUCGAUGUCGGCUCAUCACAUCCUGGGGCUGAAGUAGGUCCCAAGGGUAUGGCUGUUCGCCAUUUAAAGUGGUACGCGAGCUGGGUUUAGAACGUCGUGAGACAGUUCGGUCCCUAUCUGCCGUGGGCGCUGGAGAACUGAGGGGGGCUGCUCCUAGUACGAGAGGACCGGAGUGGACGCAUCACUGGUGUUCGGGUUGUCAUGCCAAUGGCACUGCCCGGUAGCUAAAUGCGGAAGAGAUAAGUGCUGAAAGCAUCUAAGCACGAAACUUGCCCCGAGAUGAGUUCUCCCUGAGACUUAGAGUCUCCUGAAGGAACGUUGAAGACGACGACGUUGAUAGGCCGGGUGUGUAAGCGCAGCGAUGCGUUGAGCUAACCGGUACUAAUGAACCGUGAGGCUUAACCUUACAACGCCAAAG
rnacentral:rRNA from 1 species